rnacentral:rRNA from 1 species
GCCAAAAACCUAGCCUUAAAAGAAUCUCUAAAUAUGUUUUCCAUUUAACUUAAUAAAACAAAACAUUUGAACAAUCUAGUAAAGGAGAUAAAAAAAUUUAUUAGAGCUAUAUUAAUAGUACCGCAAGGGAAAGGUGAAAUAAAAAUGAAAACCUUAAGCAACAAAAAGUAAAGAUUAACUCUUGUACCUUUUGCAUCAUGGUUUAACCAGUCUCAAUCAAGCAAAACGAAUUUUAGUUUGAUACCCCGAAACUAGACGAGCUACUCCAUGGCAGCUUUAUGAGCACACCCGUCCCUGUCGCAAAAGAGUGGGAAGACCUUCGAGUAGAGGCGAUAAACCUAACGAGCCUAGUGAUAGCUGGUUGUUUGAUAAAAGAAUUUUAGUUCUACCUAAAGUUUCAUAAAUUUUUCUCAAAAUAAACUAAUACUUUAGAUUUAUUCAAAUAAGGUUCAGCCUAUUUGAAUAAGGAUACAGCCUAAAAUAAUGGGUAAAAUAUCUUUUUUACCAAAGUUGGCCUAAAAGCAGCCACCUUUUAAAAAGCGUCAAAGCUUCACUUUUCCUUAUUCUCCCAAUUUCACCAACCAUUUUCAACCCUUAAUUAAUAUCAAACAAUUCUAUACUCCUAUAGAAGUCAUAAUGUUAAAACGAGUAACAAGAAGAAUAUUCUUCUCUUAAAUGCAAGCAUAUGUCAGAAAGGAUAAACCACUGACAAUUAACACAUCUGAGCCUAAAUUAGUAACCCAACAAGAAAACCCUAAUUAAUUAAAUGUUAAUCUAACACAAGAGCAUUUCAAGAAAGAUUAAAAGAGAAAGAAGGAACUCGGCAAAUAUUAACCCCGCCUGUUUACCAAAAACAUCGCCUCUUGAUUAAUUAUAAGAGGUAUAGCCUGCCCAGUGACACAUGUUUAACGGCCGCGGUAUCCUAACCGUGCAAAGGUAGCGUAAUCACUUGUUCUUUAAAUGAGGACUAGUAUGAACGGCACCACGAAGGUUAUACUGUCUCCUUUCUCCAAUCAGUAAAACUAAUCUCCCCGUGAAGAAGCGAGGAUAAACUUAUAAGACGAGAAGACCCUAUGGAGCUUUAAACUAACCAGCAUUUGCUAUAUACAAAUUCUUAACUUUUAGACAAUCUAGCCCUCUGACUGGUAGUUUUCGAUUGGGGUGAUCACGGAACAAAAAAUAACCUCCGUGUCGAAAGGAUUAACCUGAGCAAAAAGCGACAGCUUUCCGCACUAAAAAAUUAACGUUCAUUGACCCAAUAUUUUGAUCAACGAACCAAGUUACCCUAGGGAUAACAGCGCAAUCUACUUCAAGAGUCCCUAUCGACAAGUAGGUUUACGACCUCGAUGUUGGAUCAGGGUACCCCAGUGGUGCAGCCGCUACUAAAGGUUCGUUUGUUCAACGAUUAAUACCCU